AAGUCGUAACAAGGUCUCCGUAGGUGAACCUGCGGAGGGAUCAUUAUCAACGUAAUAAUCCACGUAUACCAUUGUGAAAUGUAAACAAAAUAAUAACUUUGGAAAGAUUUUGAAACGAGGAAGCGACGUUGACGUCGUAGUAAUUUUUGGACCAGUUGCUUCCUCUAGACCGCAGUAGUUGGGCUGUGUGUCCGGCGAAACGAUCAGCGAAAUCUUUGCUAUCUGAAGUUUCUAAAACAAAUUACCUACUAAUUGAUUGACAAUUUUUAACCACUUUUGAAUUUUUGAACUAACGCUUUCAUACUCCAAUAAAACGGAGAUGAAAUUCAUUACGAAACAAAAGAA
rnacentral:misc_RNA from 1 species